CCUACGGGAGGCAGCAGUGAGGAAUAUUGGUCAAUGGACGAGAGUCUGAACCAGCCAAGUAGCGUGAAGGAUGACUGCCCUAUGGGUUGUAAACUUCUUUUAUAAAGGAAUAAAACGAGGCACGUGUGCCUUUUUGCAUGUACUUUAUGAAUAAGGAUCGGCUAACUCCGUGCCAGCAGCCGCGGUAAUACGGAGGAUCCGAGCGUUAUCCGGAUUUAUUGGGUUUAAAGGGAGCGUAGAUGGGUUGUUAAGUCAGUUGUGAAAGUUUGCGGCUCAACCGUAAAAUUGCAAUUGAUACUGGCAGUCGUGAGUACAGUUGAGGUAGGCGGAAUUCGUGGUGUAGCGGUGAAAUGCUUAGAGAUCACGAAGAACCCCGAUUGCGAAGGCAGCUUACUAAACUGUGACUGACAUUGAUGCUCGAAAGUGUGGGUAUCAAACAGGAUUAGAUACCCUUGUAGUC
rnacentral:rRNA from 1 species